AUGCAGAAUGACUUUUGUUAUAUACACAUCUCUCAUUACAUUUUCUUAUAUUUCUGUUAUAGGCCGAGCACACAUUUGGGACAAGCUCUGGUUAACAGAUAUGUAAAGACUCAGAAGGCUCUGCAAAUGCAGCAACACAACAUGGAGGAACUGAAGACAGAGCUUUCAAUGCAUGAUGAUUGUGUUCAUCAGUGGGUUUCAGAUGGGCAGAAGGUAUUAUUUUGAUUUGCUUUGUUAUUAUUCUUAUCAUUGGCAGGUAAUAUAUAAAGUUGCUUUUGCGUUUUCUUGUGUAGAAAGUGACCGACAUGGGAGUGGUCAUAGACUGUUAGAAUAGAAGGUCUAACAGUCAGCAUCAAAAGGUGUACACAGCGUCUGUACAGUCAAACAGGUGAAACACAAACAUGAGGUGUUACAUUAUAUAUGUUUUUUUUUUUUGA
ensembl:lncRNA